rnacentral:rRNA from 1 species
GUCCUUUUGUUUUUAUUUAAGGUCUGGUCUGCUCACUGAUUUUUUUAAGAGCUGCGGUAUUUUGACCGUACGAAGGUAGCAUAAUAAUUAGUUUUUUUAUUGAGAACUAGUAUGAAUGGCUGGACGAGAAAAAAGCUGUCUCUUUUUAAUUUUUUUUGAAUUUUACUUUUGAGUUAAAAGGCUCAAAUUUUUUUGAAAGACGAGAAGACCCUAUAGAGUUUAAUUGAUUAUUUUUCAUUUUAUUUUGGUAAUUUUAUUUUUGAUAAUUAUUUCAGUUUGGUUGGGGUGACUAUAAAAUUUAUUUAACUUUUAUUUUAUUAAAACAUUUAUUUAUGAUUGUUUGAUCCUUUAUUUGAUUAUAAGAUAAAUUACCUUAGGG